rnacentral:rRNA from 1 species
UACGGAGGGAGCUAGCGUUAUUCGGAAUUACUGGGCGUAAAGCGUACGUAGGCGGCUUUGUAAGUAAGAGGUGAAAGCCCGGAGCUCAACUCCGGAACUGCCUUUUAGACUGCAUCGCUUGAAUCCAGGAGAGGUGAGUGGAAUUCCGAGUGUAGAGGUGAAAUUCGUAGAUAUUCGGAAGAACACCAGUGGCGAAGGCGACUCACUGGACAGGUAUUGACGCUGAGGUGCGAAAGCGUGGGGAGCAAACAGG